rnacentral:rRNA from 1 species
CCUACGGGUGGCAGCAGUGGGGAAUAUUGGACAAUGGGGGCAACCCUGAUCCAGCCAUGCCGCGUGUGUGAAGAAGGCCCUCGGGUUGUAAAGCACUUUCAGUGAGGAAGAACGCCUGGUGGUUAAUACCCAUCAGGAAAGACAUCACUCACAGAAGAAGCACCGGCUAACUCCGUGCCAGCAGCCGCGGUAAUACGGAGGGUGCGAGCGUUAAUCGGAAUUACUGGGCGUAAAGCGCGCGUAGGUGGCUUGAUAAGCCGGUUGUGAAAGCCCCGGGCUCAACCUGGGAACGGCAUCCGGAACUGUCAAGCUAGAGUGCAGGAGAGGAAGGUAGAAUUCCCGGUGUAGCGGUGAAAUGCGUAGAGAUCGGGAGGAAUACCAGUGGCGAAGGCGGCCUUCUGGACUGACACUGUCACUGAGGUGCGAAAGCGUGGGUAGCAAACAGGAUUAGAUACCCGAGUAGUC